UAAAAAACCCCUCGGCUCCGCUCGGAGACGGCCGCAUCGUCGCCUCGCGAGGCGACGGCACCGGCUCGUGGUGCGAGGCUAUACCGCCGGCUCCUCGUGCGCUGUGAGAGGCGGCCUCGACUGGGCGACGGCGGCGGGGAUCCAGUUCUCCAUCUUGCAUUUCCCAGUCGCUGAGCGCGCGAAAUCGAGUUGCAGCGGCCAAAUCCCACAGAGCUGCAGCGGCGGCAGAGAAGGGGAAGGAAUGGGGACGGAGCAGCAGUCGGCGGCAGUGGCGCGAAAGGUCCUUGCUGCUGCGGCGGCGCGCGAGCGGAAGAAUGCGGCUUCACUGGUCACCCUAGCUUCACCGCCGACCCAAGGUGCACCGGCGGCAUGUCCAACAGCGGCAUGUCCAACGACUCCAACCAGGCAACCUGACUCAGACCGGCAUCUCCUUCAAGCACGGGCAUCCCUGAGGUUGUUGACUUGUUGCGACAAUAUAAUUUCUGUGGGGUAAUAAUCUGCAGCGGACAUGAGCAUGAUGACGGACAUGCAGUCCAUCGAGUCUUCCUUAUCUUCCAUGUUGUUUUUUGUCAGCAUCCUGGCGUUGGUCCCUUGAUCUACAAGGUCAUGCCCUUCCUCCCUUCCUUUGAUUGAUUUAUUCAAUAAGGAAAGUAAUAUGCCCACUACGUAUUUGAUGGAAUGCGUCUCAGAUAUUUGAAAUUUAUUUUACACUUGUAUUUUCCAUAUCAUAUAUUGGAGAUGUCAAGUGUCAUCUUAUUUGGGAAUCUAUGAAAAUAUGUAGCCAGGAAGAACUUGCUAAUAUCAUUCGUUUGUCUGAAUUUAGUGAAAGGAUUAGGUUUCAAACGUGGAAGUUUUUCAAUCAGAAUGUAUUUAUGUGCAAUUUUUGGAUGCAAUUCAAUUGCGAAACACUUAGAGACAGUAACUUAUUAGUUUAUACAAAUGAACAUGGAAUUUGUGGAUGAAAUUGAUAUGGUACGUAGGCAGGUAAGCAGGCAGCGAGGUAGCACAAUUCAAUCGUUGUGCACAUAUUAACUGAUAUUGUUGUGCCAUAGUGAUGACAAAAUGCAGUUAACUGAUAUCUAUGUACGUCUACUGAGUUCACGGUUCUAUGUUACAGUUAUAUGAUUACAAUAUUGUUUUUUUAAUCUAAGCACAACCUGGGCAUUUUUGUCCUUCAUUUCUUCUUGCUACUCCGCUAGCCACUCCACUCAGGAAUGAUUGAGGAGCUGAUUGAUGAAGGCGUGGGCGAGUGACUUGUUGUCAUGUGAUGCAAAACCUACUAAAUUAUUCUGCUAGCAAACUGAGAUGAAAUUAUAGUCUGACAAUAAUUUGUGGACAGCUGCAACCUUACUACAAGUUAAUGAUCAAUUAUAUUUGUGGAAUGGUUCCUAUACAAUGUUACUGUUUUUUAUUUCUCUACUCAUGAUGAAAUCUGGUUAUCUGGACAUUGGUGAGCUUGUGCACAUAUUAUCUGAUCAAGGUAGGCAGAACAUUGUUACUGCUAUGGAUGUAGCAAUGCCUGCCCCUUCUUUGGCAGAAGGAAAAGAUCUAAAGAACAUACAGAAAAGCUUGCGUGCUCUGACCCUGAAAUUAGUGAUGAAGAUCAAGAGCCGUAUGCUGUUGAAUCGUGGAUGGUUCAUGGAGCUCUGAACAUGGCAGAGCAUCUGGCCAAAGAUGCUGCGCCCGUUCUACCCUCAUAUGCAUCUAACAUCAGAUUCUUAUUACAUGCACCAUCUCUGCU